CCUACGGGGGGUUGCAGUGGGGAAUAUUGGACAAUGGGGGCAACCCUGAUCCAGCCAUGCCGCGUGUGUGAAGAAGGCCCUCGGGUUGUAAAGCACUUUCAGUGAGGAAGAACGCCUGGUGGUUAAUACCCAUCAGGAAAGACAUCACUCACAGAAGAAGCACCGGCUAACUCCGUGCCAGCAGCCGCGGUAAUACGGAGGGUGCGAGCGUUAAUCGGAAUUACUGGGCGUAAAGCGCGCGUAGGUGGCUUGAUAAGCCGGUUGUGAAAGCCCCGGGCUCAACCUGGGAACGGCAUCCGGAACUGUCAAGCUAGAGUGCAGGAGAGGAAGGUAGAAUUCCCGGUGUAGCGGUGAAAUGCGUAGAGAUCGGGAGGAAUACCAGUGGCGAAGGCGGCCUUCUGGACUGACACUGACACUGAGGUGCGAAAGCGUGGGUAGCAAACAGGAUUAGAUACCCCAGUAGUC
rnacentral:rRNA from 1 species